CAUGUAGGCGGAUUAAUAAGUUUGAAGUGAAAUCCUAUAGCUUAACUAUAGAACUGCUUUGAAAACUGUUAAUCUAGAAUGUGGGAGAGGUAGAUGGAAUUUCUGGUGUAGGGGUAAAAUCCGUAGAGAUCAGAAGGAAUACCGAUUGCGAAGGCGAUCUACUGGAACAUUAUUAACGCUGAGAUGCGAAAGCGUGGGGAGCAAACA
rnacentral:rRNA from 1 species